UACAGAGGUCUCAAGCGUUGUUCGGAUUCAUUGGGCGUAAAGGGUGUGUAGGUGGCGCGCUAAGUCGGGUGUAAAAUUUCGGAGCUUAACUCCGAAACUGCAUUUGAUACUGGCGUGCUUGAGGACUGGAGAGGAGACUGGAAUUCAUGGUGUAGCAGUGAAAUGCGUAGAGAUCAUGAGGAAGACCAGUGGCGAAGGCGGGUCUCUGGACAGUUCCUGACACUGAGACACGAAGGCCAGGGGAGCAAACGGG
rnacentral:rRNA from 1 species